ACUGUGGGGCCUCAGUUCCUCCGCUGCUGUUUGAGCCUUGGAGAAUUAGAUAUUGCCUUGGAUUUGCUCCAACGAUGCAAGGAGCUGCUUUUUGCUACUGACAUAAACAAGGACCCAACAAUUCGGAAUAUUGCACGCUAUCUUCCUAAGUCUCUGAACACAAGUCAACUUCCGUUCUGGAAGCGAUGGCCGUAUCACUAUGUCAAAAUACCAUCAACCACAACCACUGGGCAUUUCUGCGUAGAUAUUCAGCAAGAAGGCGAGAGCAACCA